rnacentral:rRNA from 1 species
GACGAACGCUGGCGGCGUGCUUAACACAUGCAAGUCGAACGGAAAGGCCCCUUCGGGGGUACUCGAGUGGCGAACGGGUGAGUAACACGUGAGUAACCUGCCCUUGACUUCGGGAUAACUUCAGGAAACUGGGGCUAAUACCGGAUAGGAAUCCUUGCUGCAUGGUGGGGGUUGGAAAGCUUCGGCGGUUUUGGAUGGACUCGCGGCUUAUCAGCUUGUUGGUGGGGUAGUGGCUUACCAAGGCUUUGACGGGUAGCCGGCCUGAGAGGGCGACCGGCCACAUUGGGACUGAGAUACGGCCCAGACUCCUACGGGAGGCAGCAGUGGGGAAUAUUGCACAAUGGGCGGAAGCCUGAUGCAGCAACGCCGCGUGCGGGAUGACGGCCUUCGGAUUGUAAACCGCUUUCAGCAGGGGCGAAGCUUGUGGUGACGGUACCUGCAGAAGAAGCACCGGCUAACUACGUG